CUGUGAUUAAUUCCACACAAAUCUCAAACUAUAGCACAGCACAAUAAAAAUAAGCCGAAAUCUCCACUUUUACCAAGAAAUACAAUGAAAUAUACAUAUGGAUGCAUAAUACAUAGUGAGCCUCAUAACUAUCUACAAGUGAUGCAAAAUCACAUCUAGACAUGAACAUGCAUCCCAAAAUAUUGACUACAUGUUCUAUGAAAUGAGUCAUACUAACAAACUCUAUAGUGUGGCUCUGACUCCAAAAUCAAGGAUCCACUCCAAAAGAUGUCCAAAUUCUCAACUGCUGCCAGAUAAAGAAAAACGUGGAAAAAUAUAUGAGUUGAUAGCUCAGUGAGUGGAGAAGUUCAAAAUAAAUGUACAUUUUCCAUUUAUACAUUUUUUAUUGAAAAUCAACUUCAUAUCAUUUGAUAAUUCACAAACUACCAUCAUGUAAUUAUAGUCAAAAAGUGAAAUAUUCACAUAAGGUCAUAAAAAUAUCAUCUUAAAAUCAUGAUAUAACAUCAGUUGAUAACCAUGCUAUAAUCUUAUCACAUCAAUCGUGCUGAAAAAUUCACCAAAAAUGUACCCUCUAACUGAAAUAUGUAAUCCACCUCUCGGGCUAAGAACUUUCACCACGGGUCUUUGGCCCCCUCUGUGAACGAAAGCCUGUUUCAAAGACCUCUCAUAAUCAAUUCUAGAACGCGGCCAAUGCCCCUAUGUAAACUAUAUAUACACGAUCAAGACCAAUGUCAAGUCAAGACCCUCCGUGUAGGAUAGAACACGGCCAAGGCCCCUCUGUGAAUUAGAAGAAGUAUAUAAUCAUUGGUACUUUUCUGACCAAUCUCAAUGUUGCAUGUCUCACAUACCAAACAAAUUUCAAUAUCACAUGUCUUACAUAACAGGUUACAAAUGUGUCAUAAAUAAUCUUUGAUAUUCCACAUGUACCAUAAUAAAAGAGAUUUCCAUAAUAACAAUAUAAUUCGAACACAUAAUUGCACAUAUUUUGACAAUAUACUUAAUUUAUAAAUAUUUUAAAAAUAUUUAUAUUUUUCCACUCACAGAACUAUGUACGUCAAAAUCAAUUCGAUUGGUACGCUGUUCUGAUAUUCGUAUCGCCGCGUAAAAUAUGAUAUCAUUUUUAAAUCAAUAAUUAACUAAUUUUAGUAAUUUCACUAAUUAAAUAAGUGAUACCCAAACAUAAUUAUUUCACGUUUAGGCGAUUUCUAAAGUCUCUUUAAUUAUUAAAACUAAUCUUUCUUUCAUUUUACUCAAUUUCAUAGUUUAUUAUACUCAACCCCUUCGAUAAAAUUAAAUUUAAUCUAACAACUAUAAAAUCAAACAUAACCUUUCAAUAAGUAACUUUUUACUUACCUUUCAAAAUUGAGAAAUUCAAGUCUAAUAGGUAGAGUACUUAAUUCCUAACAUAUUGGCAAAUUUUCCCUUUUUUCCCUUUUUUUCUUCAUCUUUUCCCUUUUUUUUCCUCUUUUUUCCUUUCUCUCUUUUUCUUCUCUGGUCCGUUUUCUUGUGUAUGUGUUGUAUGAUAUGUGUGUGUUAUUAAAUUGGUUUUGGAUUUGUAUUAGUUUUGCACCGCCUGCCACUUUUGUUUUUGUUUUUGUCUUUUUUUUUUUGUCUUUUGUCUUCUUUUCUUUUUUGUUUGACUUUUUUUUUUUCAAAGUAUUACAAAACUCACCCCUUUAAAAGAAUUUCAUUCUCGAAAUUCAAUUGACUAAGUGCUUAAAAUCUGGGGAUACUGAGAACGCAUCUGCUCUUCACUUUCUCAUAUCGCUUCUUCUAUAACAUGAUUCCUCCACAAGACUUUAACCAAAGGAAUAGCCUUAGUACGCAAAAUGUGUUCUUUCCUAUCCAAUGUCAGAACUGGUUCUUCUUCAUAGGUAAGAUUUUCCUUCAACUCUACUCGUUGUGAUUCCAAAAUAUGAGAUGGAUCUGGAAUAUACUUACGAAGUAUAGAAACAUGGAAUACAUCAUGAAUUCUGGACAAUUCUAUUGGCAAAGCCAAUCGAUACGCAACUGGACCGAUGUGUUCAACAAUCUCAUAUGGGCUAAUAUACCUCGGACUCAAUUUACCUCGUUUACCAAAUCUGAUAACACCUUUCCAUAGCGACAAUCGUAGGAAAAUUUUAUCUCUAACAUCAAAUUCAAGAUUUUUUUUACGUCUAUCUGCAUAGUUCUUCUGUCUAUCUUAGGCUGUCUUUAAUUUUUCUUUAAUUACCUUUACUUUCGCAUCAGUAAUCUGGACAUAUUCGCGACCCAAUAGCUUUCUUUCGCCAACUUCAUCCCAACAUACUGGAGUUCUGCAUUUCCUACCAUACAGUGCUUCAGAAUGAGCCAUUUCUAUACUCGAAUGAUAAUUGUUAUUAUAAGCAAACUCCAUCAAAGAAAGAUGAGUAUCCUAAUUCCUUUGAACUGUAGUACACAAGCUCGUAACGUGUCUUCCAAAGUCUGAAUAGUUCUUUCUAACUGACCAUCUGUUUGUAGAUGAAAAGCUGUACUGAAAUGAAGUUUAGUACCCGUAGCUUUCUACAAACUGGGCCAAAAUUUAGAAGUGAAACAAUAGAUACUGAUGUCCCAUACAAACUGAUUAUCUCAUCAACAUAUAUUUUUUCCAAUUUAUCUAACAAGUAAGUGACUUUAAUAGGCAAAAAUCUAGCAGUCUUCGUCAAUCUGUCUACAAUGAUCCAUAUGUCAUCAUGUCCACUCUGAGUCCGUGGAAGUCCAAAUAGAAAAUCCAUAGUAAUGUAUUCUCAUUUCCUCUCAGGAAUAGGCAACGUUUGUAACAAUCCUACUGUUUUCUGACGAUCUGGUUUCACUUGCUGACAAAUGAGACAUCUGGAUACAAACUCAGCUAUUUCUCUCUUCAUUCCAUGCCACCAAUAGUGUUCUUUGAGUACAUGAUACAUUUUUUUACUACCUGGAUGCAUCGCGUAAGUAGAACUAUGUGCCUCUUCUAGAAUUUCUCCCUUCAAUUUCGAAUCAUCCGGAACACAUAAUCUGUUUCCCAUAACUAAAGCUCUGUCAUCUCGAAUGGUAUAAUCUGUAUGCUUACAUUUACUAACUUCUUCUUUCAAUUUGCUUAACACCGGAUCUUAAGUUUGAGUUUCUCUAACUGUAUCAAUCAAAGUAGGCCUCACUUGGAAGUCAGCAAACAAUGCUCCAACACUGGUAACUGAUAAUUGGGCAUGAGAAGCUCUGAGCUCACCAAACAAAGAUGAACAUGCUACAUUAGUUUGGGUCAUAGGUCUCGAUAUUUUCCGACUGAGAGUAUCAGCAACUACAUUAGCCUUCCCUGGACGAUAAUCAAUCUUGCAGUCGUAAUCUUUUAUCAGCUCUAACCAUCUUCUUUGCUUCAAGUUUAACUCUUUCUGAUCGAAAAUAUACUUUAAACUUUUAUGAUUUGUAUAUAUCUGACAUUUCUCACCAUACAAGUAAUGUCUCCAAAUUUUCAAGGCUAGGACAACUGCAGCUAGCUCUAAAUCAUGUGUAGGAUAACUCAGUUCACGUUUCUUCAAUUGCCUGGAAGCAUACGCUAUAACUUUUCCAUUUUGCAUCAAAACACAACCAAGACCCUAACGUGAAGCAUUACUAUAUAUCACAAACUCUUUACUGAGAGAUGGAAUGGUAAGAAUUGGGGCUGACACUAAUCGAUUCUUCAAUUCGAGGAAACUUCUUUCACAAUUUUCAUUCCAAACAAAUUUAGCAUUCUUUCUAGUCAAGCUGGUCAAAGGAAGAGCAAUUUUUGGAAAAUCCCUCUACAAAACGAUGAUAUUAACCUGCUAAGCCAACAAAACUUCGGAUUUAUAUCACAUUAGCAGGCCUUUCCCAUUUUAUCACUGCCUCUGUUUUCUGCGGGUAAACAUAAAUUCCUUCUGCUGAUAUGACAUGUCCCAAAAUACAACUUUAUCAAGCCAAAAUUCACAUUUACUAAAUUUAGCAUACAGCUGCUCAUCACGUAGAGUCUGCAAGAUGAUUCUAAGAUGCUCUGUGUGUUCAUCGUCAUUAUGAGAGUAUACUAAAAUAUCAUCGAUGAAUACAAUCACAAAUCUAUCUAAGUAUGAGCGAAACACUCUAUUCAUCAUAUCCAUAAAUGUUGCUGGUGCGUUGGUCAACCCAAAUGGCAUCACAAGAAAUUCAAAAUGACCAUAUCUUGUCCUGAAAGCAGUUUUUGGCACAUCACUGUCCCUGAUUUUAAGUUGAUGAUAUCCAGAACGCAAAUCAAUCUUUAAAAAUACUGCAGCACCUCGAAGCUAAUCAAAUAGGUCAUCAAUACAUAGCAAAGGAUAUUUAUUGCAAAUUGUCACUUGUUUCAAUUGUCUGUAAUCUAUACAUAGUCGCAUGGUGCGAUAUUUUUUUUUUCACAAACAAAAUUGAUACUCCCCACGGAGAUAUACUAGGUCUGAUGAAACCCUUGUCUACUAACUCUUGCAACUGAACCUUUAGCUCUUUCAAUUCUGCUGGUGCCAUUCUAUAUGGUGUCCAUAAAAUAGGUGCAGUUCCUGGAAUCAGAUCUAUAGUAAACUCCAUAUCUCUGUAUGAUGGUAAGCCUGGUAAUUCUUCUGGAAAUACAUCGGGAAAGUCCUUGACCACUGGGAUAUCUUCAAGUUUUAGUUUACUAAGAUCUGUAUCAAUUAAAUGAGCCAAAUAUGCAUGGCAGCCCUUGUUGAGUAAUCUUCUAGCGUCAAUAGCAGAUAUCACACAAGACAGUAAAAUUCUGCGCUGUCCGUUGAAUAUAACUUCAAGUUGUCUUGGCUAUCUAAACACAACCUCCUUUCGAAAGAAAUCAACUGAAGCUCGAUUUGUUGUCAAAAAGUCCAUACCCAAGAUAACAUCAAAAUCAUGUAUGUCAAGAGGUAUUAAAUUUGCCUUCAGCUCGUUCUCCUUUACCUUAGUCCCACAAUCUCGAUAUAUAUUGUUUGCUAAUAGUGAUUCUCCUACUAGUGUAUUCACUACCAAACAACUGCCUAGAGGUUCUCACUUUUGAUUCACAUAUAAAGUAAAUGCAAAUGACAUACAAGAAUGUGUAGAUCCAGGAUCAAUCAAAAUAUGAGUAUUUUUAUCAAAAAUUGACAACAUACCCAUGAUAACAUCUGGUGACUUCUUUGUCGCCUGCUGAGUCAUAGCAAAAAACCUUGCCCUGGUCUUCGGUCAUCCUACCUGCCCUUUUAAUUUUGUACCACUACUGCUUGCAAUAUUAGACUGGGUUACACUGUUUGUACUUGUUAUGUUAGUUGAAUUAUUUCUCUGAGUCUGAUUCUAUCUUGUACUACCAGCACUCUGCUAAGGAAACAUCUUUUGUGCCAUGCCACCCUCCUAGAAUACAACUGGGCAAUUCCUUUUCAGAUGUCCUUCUUGGUCACAACGAUAGCAAACACCAACUCCCUUGAACUUUAAACACUCUCCAGGAUGAGAUCUUCCACAUAAUUGGCAAGAAGAAAAUCUGGCACUAGUAGAACUCUUUCCCUGUUUCGGAGUAAAUGAUCUCUGGAAAGAACCCUGAGUAUAAUUUCGACUGGUAAAUGGCUGCUGUACAGUACUGGGACUGAAUCUAGGAACCUGACUUCCUCGGAGUCGAGAUUUGAAUUGACCUGAACUGGACACACCAGGUCGAAAUCCUCUAUUGUCCCUCCGUGAUAGUCUAUAGCUAGAAGCAUUUGUCAUUGUCUGACUAUCGAUUACUCUGAAAAUUAUUUGUUCUCUACCAAUUGGCCUAUCAGAAAUGCUAUUUUCUACUCUCAAAGUUGAUUCCACUAAUUCGCCAAAUUCAUUCAACCCUGCAGUUGUUACUACUGACCUAAUUUCUUCCCUUAACCCAUUUUCAAACCGUCUACAUUUAUCAAUUUCGUUGCUUACCGGAACUUGGGCAUAUUUUGAAAGUUCAAUAAAUUUCACCUGAUAUUCUGCAAUAGUCAUCUGGCCUUGUAUUAGUUUCAGAAAUUCCUCCUAUUUUACAUCUUUAUAGGACCGAGGGUAAUAGGCAUCGUAAAAGAUACGACGAAAAUCUAUCCAAGUAAUGAUGGAAGGGUCUAGGUAUGUGCUCCAUAUCGACCGCCACCAAUCAUACGCACCCUCCUCUAAUAAGAAGGUGGCAAGACACAACUUCCGAUCGUCUGCGCAACCCAUAACGUCAAAUACCCUCUCUAUCUUUGUCAUCCAUGCCUGCGCAACUGCAGGAUCGAUUGUGCCAGUGAACACUUUAGCCCCUAACUUUGUAGCCCUUUCAAUACUAAAAUCUCUGUCAGUAUUACGCAUAGCAGAUGCAACGACAAUAGCAAUUCUUUCAACAGCAAUAGGAUAAGUUUCAAUCACAUUUCCCUAUCCAUGUUGUUCAGGAGGCUGGUGAACGGAUUUAUCUACUCUCUCGGGCUCUCUCAGUUCAUCUCUAUCAGGAGUAAUGUGAGACUGGGACAACAUAUCUUGGAGCCUUCGAGUUUUGCCACCACGAGGCAUGACUCACCUACAGUUAUGCAUAAUAUGCUAAAUAUCAGAAUGUAUGCAUGUACAAUGCAAACCCAUGAACUCUAAUGCAUGCUUUGAUACCAAACUGACACACCUCGCCCCGUGUAACACCACUAGAUCCGGACGUGGCAUGCGCCGAUGAUAGAUACCAACUAAAAAUUGGACCCACCAUCAAGGCUACUAUAAAUACAAUUUAUCACUUUUUAUGCAUCAUUUUUCUAACAAAAUUUCGACAUUAUCUCCCCUGUAAAUAGGACUAACCAACCUGUGAUCAAUCCUACACAAAUCUCAAACUAUAGCACAGCACAAUAAAAAUAAACCGAAAUCAAAAACCAAGAAAUACAAUGAAAUAUACAUAUGGAUACAUAAUACAUAGUGAGCCCAAUAACUAUCUACAAGUGAUGCAAAAUCACAUCUACACAUGAACAUGGAUCCCAAAAUACUAUCUACAUGUUCUAUGAAGUGAGUCAUACUAACAAACUCUGUCGUGUGGCUCUGACUCCCAAAUCAAGGCUCAACUCCAAAAGAUGCCCAAAUUCUCAACUGUUACCUGAUAAGGAAAAACGUGGAAAAAUAUAUGAGUUGAUAGUUCAGUGAGUAGAGAAGUUCAAAAUAAAUGUACCUUUUCCAUUUAUACAUUUUUAUUGAAAAUCAACUUCAUAUCAUUUGAUAAUUCACAAGCUACCAUCAUGUAAUUAUAGUCAAAAAGUGAAAGAUUCACAUAAGAUCAUAAAAAUAUCAUCUUAAAAUCAUGAUAUCACAUCAGCUGAUAACCAUGCUAUAAUCUCAUCACAUCAAGCGUGCUGAAAAAUCCACCAAAAAUGUACUCUCUGACUAAAAUAUGUAAUCCACCUCUUGGGCUAAGAACUUUCGCCAGGGCCUUUGGCCCCC
rnacentral:lncRNA from 1 species